rnacentral:rRNA from 1 species
GACGACGCUGGCGGCGUGCUUAACACAUGCAAGUCGAACGGUGACGAGGAGCUUGCUCCUCCGAUCAGUGGCGAACGGGUGAGUAACACGUGAGUAACCUGCCCCAGACCCUGGGAUAACAGUUGGAAACAGCUGCUAAUACCGGAUACGAGACGGAGAGGCAUCUCUACCGUCUGGAAAGAUUUAUCGGUCUGGGAUGGACUCGCGGCCUAUCAGCUUGUUGGUGAGGUAAAGGCUCACCAAGGCGACGACGGGUAGCCGGCCUGAGAGGGCGACCGGCCACACUGGGACUGAGACACGGCCCAGACUCCUACGGGAGGCAGCAGUGGGGAAUAUUGCACAAUGGGCGAAAGCCUGAUGCAGCGACGCCGCGUGAGGGAUGACGGCCUUCGGGUUGUAAACCUCUUUCAGCAGGGAAGAAGCGAAAGUGACGGUACCUGCAGAAGAAGCACCGGCUAACUACGUG